rnacentral:lncRNA from 1 species
AACGCUCCUCCAACCCCAUGCCACGAAUAUCUUUAUUCCACCAAAACUCACUACUUUCAAACCAUUUUGGUUUUGUUAUACUCGUCCCAAUAUUAUGCUCCUUUUCUCCCUCCAACUCCUUCAUCUUUCCGUCGUGUCCUUCAUUAUGUUCCUCCGCUAUGUUUUUGUCCCCUAAGGGUUGCCCAGAUCUACGCUUCGAAACGGCAACUUGUUGGCUCUCUUCGUCGUCUAUUUCAUCCAUAUUAAUCUUUCUUUUGCACUGUAUUUGCUUUUUCUCCUUGUUACUAUUCACGCUAGCCAUCGUUUUAAGUGCGAGAGUGAUAGGGUGAAGAAUUAAUAAGAAAAGAAGAGUGAUAGGAUUGAUGAAGAAUUAAUAAGAAAAGAAGAAAAGGUGGAAGAAUUAUUAGGGCUUGUGUAGAUGCAAAGAGAUGUAUU